AGUAUAUCUUACAACAAUACUAAUACCUGUUACUUUCUCAUUACAGGUAUUGACCAUAUUUGCAGAAGAUGUCUGAAAAGUUCCCUGAGCUUCAACCUCUUACAGAGAUGAAGCCUUUUCUCUCUGUAAUGCAUGCUAAGGCUCACACUGGCAAAUGUGAGGCGACGUGGGGGGGCAGAAACCAGGAAGGUGCAGGAAAUACAAUUGGUGAGGAGGUGGAACAGGUUAAUAGUUUUCUCUCCAGGGCAGCUUUGACCACAAAGUACAUGGCCAAAUCAGGUCGAACAGACAUGUUAACCAUCUUUGCCGUGGGAUGGAACCAUCGGAAGGUGGAGCUUCUCCACAAGGCACUGGCAAAGAGGUUUAUGAAGAUUACAAAGCGAGCAGAAAUUGAAGUAGCGAAUCUUCACUCAAGCAAGACCUGAACAUCUCUCUGGAGGACACACAACAGUGGGUGGAGGAUGCCAAACACUGGGCAACCACUGAGAGACAUGACGCUAAUAGCAGCCAGGAAGACCUCCAGAGAGAGAUUGAUGAGAUCAUUUAUUCCCUCCGAAGAAGGAAGCAUGAUCUCUGUCAACAGAAUGACAGCAACCAAGCAAGGCUGCGCAAACGGAGGAAUCUGUGUAAUCUCAAGAAGAAACUAAAGGAGAGGAUCCUGCACUACAACACUGUUUGUGCAUCAGGUCAAACAACUGACACAGAAGCAGCAUGCAGUCUCUGAUGAUGUCAUUCUGCCAUGGGAUGUGCAAGGAGAUGGUAA